rnacentral:rRNA from 1 species
CGCCAGACUCCUACGGGAGGCAGCAGUGGGGAAUAUUGCACAAUGGGGGAAACCCUGAUGCAGCAACGCCGCGUGAGUGAAGAAGCAUUUCGGUAUGUAAAGCUCUAUCAGCAGGGAAGAAGAUGACGGUACCUGAUUAAGAAGCCCCGGCUAACUACGUGCCAGCAGCCGCGGUAAUACGUAGGGGGCAAGCGUUAUCCGGAUUUACUGGGUGUAAAGGGGGCGCAGACGGCAGCGCAAGCCAGGAGUGAAAGCCCGGGGCCCAACCCCGGGACUGCUCUUGGAACUGCGCGGCUGGAGUGCAGGAGGGGCAGGCGGAAUUCCUGGUGUAGCGGUGAAAUGCGUAGAUAUCAGGAGGAACACCGGUGGCGAAGGCGGCCUGCUGGACUGCGACUGACGUUGAGGCCCGAAAGCGUGGGGAGCGAACAGGAUUAGAUACCCCCGUACC